AUACUUACCUGGCAGGGGAGAUACCAUUAUGAUCCAGGGGUUUUUCCCAGAGUGAAGCUUAUCCAUAGCACUCCAAAUGUGCCAACCCCUGUGAUUUCCCCAAAUGUGGAAAACUUGACUGCAUAAUUUGUGGCAGUGGGGGACUGUGUGGUGCUCUCCCUGA
rnacentral:snRNA from 1 species